rnacentral:rRNA from 1 species
CAGUCGCCGCGGUAAUACGUAGGGCGCAAGCGUUAUCCGGAGUUAUUGGGCGUAAAGAGCUCGUAGGCGGUUUGUCGCGUCUGCCGUGAAAGUCCGGGGCUCAACCCCGGAUCUGCGGUGGGUACGGGCAGACUAGAGUGAUGUAGGGGAGACUGGAAUUCCUGGUGUAGCGGUGAAAUGCGCAGAUAUCAGGAGGAACACCGAUGGCGAAAGCAGGUCUCUGGGCAUUAACUGACGCUGAGGAGCGAAAGCAUGGGGAGCGAACAGGAUUAGAUACCCCCGUAGUCCCUGUCUCUAAUAA